rnacentral:hammerhead_ribozyme from 1 species
AUCCAGCUGACGAGUCUCAAAUAGGACGCAAGGCACGUCUUGGAU